rnacentral:lncRNA from 1 species
CCUGAACAUGAUUGUAUGUGUCCUAAGGAUUCCUCUCAGUCCUUCUGGCUCUGGGAUACAUCAUGUGGGUCUCUGCCACUAGAGGAAGCAACUCAUCAUGGCUCAGAAAUACAAAGAGUUCUAGGGGUCCUAUGGCCUCCUUUUCAGUGCUGCAGUAGAGGGUCCAUAUAGCCUUUCUCUCCCCACCAGCACUACGUGUCAAAGCCCUGGGCUUCAUGGGCACAAGGAAACCUGGACACUUGGACGGUGGACUCCUGGUGGCUGGCGGGGAAUCAUGUCUGGCAUGCUAUGGCAAUCAGUUGCAACAGGAACAGCAUGAAUGAACUCAAGGGACACACCCAGCAAGCUGCCUUGACCAGAGCCUGGAAGGAUUGGUGAGUUCCCUAGGGCACCAUGCAGUAAGCACUUGUCCUCACAGCUAAUGACCCCUAUAUGCUGUGUGUCCUCAGAUCACGUCCCAUAAUGGAGAGCUGGAGUCUAGUUCAUGAGAACCCACAGAAAUUAAGGUAAUGUG